rnacentral:rRNA from 1 species
UACGGGGGGGGCAAGCGUUGUUCGGAAUUACUGGGCUUAAAGGGUUUGUAGGCGGCCUUGUAAGUCAGGUGUGAAAUCCCUCGGCUCAACCGAGGAAUAGCGCUUGAUACUGCAAGGCUUGAGGGAGACAGGGGUAAGCGGAACUGAUGGUGGAGCGGUGAAAUGCGUUGAUAUCAUCAGGAACACCGGUGGCGAAAGCGGCUUACUGGGUCUCUUCUGACGCUGAGGAACGAAAGCUAGGGUAGCGAACGGG